UACGUAGGGGCAAGCGUUGUCCGGAAUCAUUGGGCGUAAAGCGCGCGUAGGCGGCCCGGUAAGUCCGCUGUGAAAGUCAAAGGCUCAACCUUUGAAUGUCAGCGGAUACUGCCGGGCUAGAGUCCGGAAGAGGCGAGUGGAACUCCUGGUGUAGCGGUGGAAUGCGCAGAUAUCAGGAAGAACACCAACGGCGAAGGCAGCUCGCUGGGACGGAACUGACGCUAAGGCGCGAAAGCGUGGGGAGCGAACAGG
rnacentral:rRNA from 1 species